GACGAACCGUGCGAACGUUGUUCGGAAUCACUGGGCUUAAAGGGCGCGUAGGCGGCCCGACGCGUCCGGGGUGAAAUGCCGCAGCCCAACUGCGGCACUGCCUCGGGUACGGUCGGGCUGGAGUGGUGCAGGGGUCCGCGGAACAUCCGGUGGAGCGGUGAAAUGCGUUGAGAUCGGAUGGAACUCCGGCGGCGAAAGCGGCGGACUGGACACCAACUGACGCUGAGGCGCGAAAGCCAGGGGAGCGAACGGG
rnacentral:rRNA from 1 species